UACGAGGGGGGCUAGCGUUGCUCGGAAUCACUGGGCGUAAAGCGCACGUAGGCGGCCUCUUAAGUCAGGGGUGAAAUCCUGGAGCUCAACUCCAGAACUGCCUUUGAUACUGGGAGUCUUGAGUUCGGGAGAGGUGAGUGGAACUGCGAGUGUAGAGGUGAAAUUCGUAGAUAUUCGCAAGAACACCAGUGGCGAAGGCGGCUCACUGGCCCGAUACUGACGCUGAGGUGCGAAAGCGUGGGGAGCAAACAGG
rnacentral:rRNA from 1 species